rnacentral:rRNA from 1 species
CCCUCGGUGCCGCAGCAAACGCAUUAAGUAUUCCGCCUGGGGAGUACGGUCGCAAGAUUAAAACUCAAAGGAAUUGACGGGGACCCGCACAAGCAGCGGAGCAUGUGGUUUAAUUCGAAGCAACGCGAAGAACCUUACCUAGACUUGACAUCUCCUGAAUUACUCUUAAUCGAGGAAGUCCCUUCGGGGACAGGAAGACAGGUGGUGCAUGGUUGUCGUCAGCUCGUGUCGUGAGAUGUUGGGUUAAGUCCCGCAACGAGCGCAACCCUUAUUGUUAGUUGCUACUAUUAAGUUAAGCACUCUAACGAGACUGCCGCGGUUAACGUGGAGGAAGGUGGGGAUGACGUCAAAUCAUCAUGCCCCUUAUGUCUAGGGCUACACACGUGCUACAAUGGCUGGUACAACGAGCAGCAAACCCGCGAGGGGGAGCAAAACUUGAAAGCCAGUCCCAGUUCGGAUUGUAGGCUGAAACUCGCCUACAUGAAGUUGGAGUUGCUAGUAAUCGCGAAUCAGCAUGUCGCGGUGAAUACGUUCCCGGGUCUUGUACACACCGCCCGUCACACCAUGAGAGCCGGUAACACCCGAAGCCCGUGAGGUAACCGUAAGGAGCCAGCGGUCGAAGGUGGGAUUGGUGAUUGGGGUGAAGUCGUAACAAUGUAGCCGUAGGAGAACCUGCGGCUGGAUCACCUCCUUUCUA